rnacentral:lncRNA from 1 species
GGAAAUUGUACAAAAAAGAAAAAAAAAGUGAGGGACUAGCAAUAGAACAGUAAUCGGCAAACCAGCAACACUAGUUCUGGCAAUUGAAACCCCAGGAAAUUAACCCAACAAAAAUUAGUGAAAAAUUAACCCUCAAACAGCUUGAAUCAGAACCAUCGGCAACCAAACAUCAAUUUAUUUUUGGGUAUCAAAAUAAGGGCCUUUGUUUUUUUUAGAAACUAAAACUAAAAUUGUCGAUGUAACAGUAGGAAUUUCUGGAGCUUUUUUUGUAUUUUUUUUGGAAUUAUCUCUCAGAUUUUUCAGAAUAUGUCAGCUGCUCUAAAUGAGGAGAAAGAGGUCCCUAUAUAGGCCCAUCUAAUGCUGUCCUAUUCUAGCUAGAUAUUUCCCAUUUUAACCCUCUCAAACCAAAUUAUUUUUUACCCUUUUACCCCUCUAAGGAUCUGAAAAUUCAUGCCCCCUAACAAACUCACGUUUAUCCUAUCUUCUAGAGCCUUUCCUCUUAACAGAAUUGAUUUCUUCCUGGCCUAGAAUCCCUGAAUUACCCUCUGCCUAACCAAUUAUUACUAACUUUGACCUUCACCUAGAGCCCCCCUGAAGUUCCUAAUUAUUUACUUACCCCGUUCUUAGGUUUAAAAAGAGUGACAAACAGGACUGACUAAACACAGAGGGCAUCUAACCGAUCAAACUCUGAAACAAUUGUUAAAGAAAAUGCCAAAAUUCUAUUGGAAACAAAUUAAAACAAGAACCAAAUCUUCAAACAUUCACACCAACAUUUAAACAAGAACACUCAAUCAUAAAACUUAUAAAUACUAAGCUACACAGUGAUUUAAGAUAAAUUAAACAACAGAAUGCUUAGCUUUUUAACCAUUAAAAUAGAAUAGAAGUGUCGAGAUUUAACAGGAGAAAAAAGGUACAAAAAAUAUUAAUUCAAGGUUAAAAUCUGAACAUGAACUUAAAAUCAAAGUAGAGAGGCGAGGAAGAAGAUGAGUAGAACUUGAAAGAAAACUUAAAAGAAGUGAAGAAUGCUUAGCUAUUUGAACGUAAUUGAGACAGACAUCACACUGUUGGUUUCGUCCUCAAUAAUGCCACCCACAUUUUCUUUGGAAGAGCAAGUAAGCAGCAUUAUUGAGGGAAGACACCUUAAAAAUAACCCCAUGCCUGAGACAAACUCUUAUGCACCGAUAUAUGGUUCAACACUCUAGAACCCUAGAUUUAACAUUCGAGUAAUUUUGGAUGUAUUUGAGGGUAAUUGAAUGUGGAAUUAGGAUAAGGGGGAUGAGGAGAUUGUGGGGUGUGAUUUUGGGGCAGUUUGGAUAAUUUAUGGUUUUUGGUCGUUCCCAUUGAUUCAAGAUUCGAUGAGUUUGACUGGAAUUAGAAGGAGGGGAUUUGGAGUUUUGGAAAGAGGAGAAAGGGAGGAGUCGAUGGUGUAAAAGUGGGGUUGAUUGGAGAAGCGCCGCCGGCAGAGGUCAUUUCCGGCAGGCGGCGCAUGGCGGAGACGAUAGGAGUUCUCUG